rnacentral:rRNA from 1 species
UAGUCCACGCCGUAAACGAUGGUCACUAGUUGUUGGGGUCUUGUACCUCAGUGAUUAAGAGAAAUUGAUGAGUGACCCACCUGGGGAGUACGAUCGCAAGAUUGAAACUCAAAGGAAUUGACGGGGGCCCGCACAAGCGGUGGAGCAUGUGGUUUAAUUCGAUGAUACGCGAGGAACCUUACCAGGGCUUAAAUGUAAGUUGCAUGAUUUAGAGAUAGAUCUUUCUUCGGACUACUUACAAGGUGCUGCAUGGUUGUCGUCAGCUCGUGCCGUGAGGUGUCAGGUUAAGUCCUAUAACGAGCGCAACCCCUGUUGUUAGUUGCCAGCACAUUAUGGUGGGAACUCUAACAAGACUGCCGGUGCAAACCGUGAGGAAGGUAAGGAUGACGUCAAGUCAGCAUGCCCCUUAUGCUCUGGGCUACACACGUGCUACAAUGGCCGUGACAAAGAGUUGCUACUUUGUGAAAACAAGCUAAUCUCAUAAACGCGGCCUCAGUUC